UAUAGAUCAGUGGCAAAGAUAGCGAGCGCGUGGGGGUGCUUGGGCAGGACACGACUGUGUUCUAGCACCCCCGCGCGCUCGCUAUCUUAGCCACUGAUCUAUAUA